rnacentral:rRNA from 1 species
GACGAACGUUUGCGGCGUGCUUAACACAUGCAAGUCGAACGGAAAGGCCCUGCUUUUGUGGGGUGCUCGAGUGGCGAACGGUUGAGUAACACGUGAGUAACCUGCCCUUGACUUUGGGAUAACUUCAGGAAACUGGGGCUAAUACCGGAUAGGAGCUCCUGCUGCAUGGUGGGGGUUGGAAAGUUUCGGCGGUUGGGGAUGGACUCGCGGCUUAUCAGCUUGUUGGUGGGGUAGUGGCUUACCAAGGCUUUGACGGGUAGCCGGCCUGAGAGGGUGACCGGCCACAUUGGGACUGAGAUACGGCCCAGACUCCUACGGGAGGCAGCAGUGGGGAAUAUUGCACAAUGGGCGGAAGCCUGGUGCAGCAACGCCGCGUGCGGGAUGACGGCCUUCGGGUUGUAAACCGCUUUCGCCUGUGACGAAGCGUGAGUGACGGUAAUGGGUAAAGAAGCACCGGCUAACUACGUGCCAGCAGCCGCGGUGAUACGUAGGGUGCGAGCGUUGUCCGGAUUUAUUGGGCGUAAAGGGCUCGUAGGUGGUUGAUCGCGUCGGAAGUGUAAUCUUGGGGCUUAACCCUGAGCGUGCUUUCGAUACGGGUUGACUUGAGGAAGGUAGGGGAGAAUGGAAUUCCUGGUGGAGCGGUGGAAUGCGCAGAUAUCAGGAGGAACACCAGUGGCGAAGGCGGUUCUCUGGGCCUUUCCUGACGCUGAGGAGCGAAAGCGUGGGGAGCGAACAGGCUUAGAUACCCUGGUAGUCCACGCUGUAAACGGUGGGUACUAGGUGUGGGGUCCAUUCCACGGGUUCCGUGCCGUAGCUAACGCUUUAAGUACCCCGCCUGGGGAGUACGGCCGCAAGGCUAAAACUCAAAGGAAUUGACGGGGCCCCGCACAAGCGGCGGAGCAUGCGGAUUAAUUCGAUGCAACGCGUAGAACCUUACCUGGGUUUGACAUGGAUCGGGAGUGCUCAGAGAUGGGUGUGCCUCUUUUGGGGUCGGUUCACAGGUGGUGCAUGGCUGUCGUCAGCUCGUGUCGUGAGAUGUUGGGUUAAGUCCCGCAACGAGCGCAACCCUUGUUCACUGUUGCCAGCACGUUAUGGUGGGGACUCAGUGGAGACCGCCGGGGUCAACUCGGAGGAAGGUGGGGAUGACGUCAAGUCAUCAUGCCCCUUAUGUCCAGGGCUUCACGCAUGCUACAAUGGCUGGUACAGAGAGUGGCGAGCCUGUGAGGGUGAGCGAAUCUCGGAAAGCCGGUCUCAGUUCGGAUUGGGGUCUGCAACUCGACCUCAUGAAGUCGGAGUCGCUAGUAAUCGCAGAUCAGCAACGCUGCGGUGAAUACGUUCCCGGG